rnacentral:piRNA from 1 species
UAAUAUCUGUUUUCUAGUUUU